GUUUCAAAUCUCAAAAGGUAAUAAAAUGAUUGCCUAGUGUUUAUCUAAGUAGUUUUUUAAUCAGUUUAUUGAGAUAUAGUUGACCAAUAUUGAGUAAAAUGGGAAAAAGUUGUUCAAACAUUCUUACCAGUUCUUGAACACUGCCAACCUAAGCGAGCAUUUCCUUACCAAAAAACUACCAGUUUCCACUAAAUGAGCCAGACCGGCACUCAUGAAUAUUUCCAGGUUCCAACAGGCUACUUUAAUGCAGAAGACUAAAGAAAGGGUCAAAUACCAGAAAAGAGCUCUCCCUGUUGGGCAAGAGAUUGAUUCAGAAUUUCAGCUCAUGAUCUGUUGUUAUUUACCUCUUUACAUCUCUCUGUACUUCACAGUAAGAAGAAUUAGUACUGGGUCUCAGAGCUACGAAGCUAUGAAGGUACUUCAAAAACUUCAUGGAACAUGCAAGCAGAAGAUGCUUAUUCUGCAGCCAAAAGGUAUAGGAAGGAGCAGCGAGCAGCUUGAAACCAGUGAGUGAAGAGCCAACUCAGAAAAUGUAGAAAAUGUAAGUCACAUGUAUUCGCACUCAGCCAUAAUCACGUUUUUAUUUUGUUUAUACUAGUUCUUUUAGAAUAAUCUUCUUUCAGCCUGAUUUUGGUGGUCUCUUGGACUCUUCACCUUUCCCUUUCUCAUGUGGCAAGUAAAGCAGAAAGAAGUAUGCUGUUUGACAGAGGUCAGGGAUGUGGCAGAUGGGAAGUUAUUGGAUAAAGUGGACAAUAUUUCACUUAUGCAAAGUGAAUUAUUUCUGGAGAUAGAAUGCAUGACAAGCUGACAAUAGUGAAUAGUAUCAUAUUAUACACUUGUAAUUUGCAAACAGAAGAGAUCUUACACUCUAUUUUCUCAUUACACACACACACACACAAUGAGAACUAUGUAGAGGUACUGGAUAUGUUAAUUAGAUUCAUUCCAGUUAUUUCACAAUGUAUAGGUAUAUCAAAACAUCAAGUUGUAUACCUUAAACAUCAUAUAAAAUUUUUAGGUCAAUGAUAUCUCAAUAAAGCUGCUUAAAAAAUACUCCA
rnacentral:lncRNA from 1 species